AUUGAACGCUGGCGGCAUGCUUUACACAUGCAAGUCGGACGGCAGCACAGAGAAGCUUGCUUCUUGGGUGGCGAGUGGCGAACGGGUGAGUAACAUAUCGGAACGUACCGAGCAGUGGGGGAUAACUAAUCGAAAGAUUAGCUAAUACCGCAUAUUUUCUGAGGAAGAAAGCAGGGGACCAUUUGGCCUUGCGCUGUUUGAGCGGCCGAUAUCUGAUUAGCUAGUUGGUGGGGUAAAGGCCUACCAAGGCGACGAUCAGUAGCGGGUCUGAGAGGAUGAUCCGCCACACUGGGACUGAGACACGGCCCAGACUCCUACGGGAGGCAGCAGUGGGGAAUUUUGGACAAUGGGCGCAAGCCUGAUCCAGCCAUGCCGCGUGUCUGAAGAAGGCCUUCGGGUUGCAAAGGACUUUUGUCAGGGAAGAAAAGGGCGGGGUUCAUACCCCUGUCUGAUGACGGUCACUGAAGCA
rnacentral:rRNA from 1 species